rnacentral:rRNA from 1 species
GACGAACGCUGGCGGCGUGCUUAACAAAUGCAAGUCGAACGAAGUGGCGAACGGGUGAGUAACGCGUAAUAAACCUGCCCUUCAGAGGGGGACAACAGUUGGAAACGAAUGCUCAUACAGCAUCCUGAAGGAAGGGGUUGCGUCUGAUUAGCUAGUUGGAGGGGUAACGGCCCACCAAGGCGAUGAUCAGUAGCUGGUCUUAGAGGAUGAACGGCCACAUUGGGACUGAGACACGGCCCAGACUCCUACGGGAGGCAGCAGUGGGGAAUCUUCCGCAAUGGACGAAAGUCUGACGGAGCAACGCCGCGUGAGUGAUGACGGCCUUCGGUUUGUAAAGCUCUGUUAAUCGGGACGCGGUACCGGAAUAGAAAGCCACGGCUAACUACGUGCCAGCAGCCGCGGUAAUUC